GGCUUGGAAAGUUCCGAAAACAUUACGGUGCAGACGAUAUAUCGUUCUCUCACUCUGUCAGAGGAAUCGUGUGUUUUGCGCAUGCACUGAAUCGAGGGAGUGGGGGUCAGUGGGGAUGCGCAGAAACUGUUUAUAAGAUUAGAGUUAGAGAAGUUGAGUCCGCGCGGAUAUGUGUGCAUGCGGGAGGAAAAUUGCUUGGUAAGCGCAAAGUGCCUUAGAUGUCGCAUUCAGGGGAAGUAGAAAAAUGUCUAAUCUCUCAAGUCGGGGAAGUAGAAAAAUGUCUAAUCGAAAAAAGUGUUAUUUGUGCAACCGCAAGCUGUCAAAAACAGAACAUAUUUCUGUACAUGGAUUUUCAAAAGAUUUGAUUCUUCGUCAAAAAUGGAAAGACGCUUGUGGAUUAACCGACGUGGAUGACGUAUCUCACGUUUAUGUUUGUUCAAUCUAUUUUGCCCCUGAAAAUUUGAAAGUAAGGAUGGUUACUGGCAACCCAAGAAUNAUUUUGCAACCAGAGAGGUGUCGACGUAUGCUCAUCGUCGAUGGACUGCGCAUCUAUUCGUGAAGAUGGAGAACACAGUGACACAUAUUAUUUCGAUGAAAGUUCUUGUAAUCCUGAUUGUUCUGAUAGAGAUAAGGUCACGACUCCUAAGAAGCGUCAAUUUCAUGAGCCACGUUUUAUCUCAGAAAUCAUCUCAUCUAAUUUUUCCACUCCGAGGAGAGCUCAACGAACGCUGAAAAUGAUAAAACAAAUCGAUCAAAAGAAGACGAAGAAACUGAAACGUUUGCAAGAUA